rnacentral:rRNA from 1 species
GUUCAGAUUGCAGGCUGCAACUCGCCUGCAUGAAGUCGGAAUUGCUAGUAAUCGCAGAUCAGCAUGCUGCGGUGAAUACGUUCCCGGGCCUUGUACACACCGCCCGUCACACCAUGGGAGUCGGUAACACCCGAAGUCGGUAGCCUAACCGUAAGGAGGGCGCCGCCGAAGGUGGGAUUGAUGACUGGGGUGAAGUCGUAACAAGGUAGC